rnacentral:rRNA from 1 species
GACGAACGCUGGCGGCGUGCUUAACACAUGCAAGUCGAACGGAAAGGCCCUGCUUUUGUGGGGUGCUCGAUUGGCGAACGGGUGAGUAACACGUGAGUAACCUGCCCUUGACUUUGGGAUAACUUCAGGAAACUGGGGCUAAUACCGGAUAGGAGCUCCUGCUGCAUGGUGGUGGUUGGAGAGUGUCGGCGGCGGUGGAUGGAUUGGAGGCUUAUGCGCUUGUUUGGCGGGUAGGUGAUUACCAAGGGUUUGACGGGUAGGCGGCAUGGGAGGGUGAACGGCCACCUGAGGCCUACGAGACGGAGCAGACGGCUAUGGGCGGCAGCAGUGGGGAACAUGGCACAACGGGGGGGCGCCUGUUGCAGCAACGCCGGGUGCGGAAUGACGGGUUUCGGGUUGUAAACAGAUUUGGACGGAGAUGAAGAGUGAGUGACGGUACUGGGUCAAGAAGCCACGGCUAACUACGUG